rnacentral:rRNA from 1 species
CGGAUUGGAGUCUGCAACCCGACUCCAUGAAGCUGGAUUCGCUAGUAAUCGCGCAUCAGCCACGGCGCGGUGAAUACGUUCCCGGGCCUUGUACACACCGCCCGUCAAGCCAUGGGAGUCGGGAGUGCCUGAAGUUCGUGACCGUCACAGGAGCGACCUAAGGCAAGACCGAUGACUGGGGCUAAGUCGUAACAAGGUACC